AAACCAAUACAAUAGUACAAAGUGAAUUUACAGAAAACUCUGCUUUAAGUGUCGAAUAGGUCAGGAGGACACAUUAUUGGCAACAAUGCUGAAUACAAGAUUCAACUGUCAGCUCCUUAUGCCAGUUUAUCCACUAAACAAAAAUCAGAUUC